UACAGAGGUGGCAAGCGUUGUUCGGAAUUACUGGGCGUAAAGGGCGCGUAGGCGGCCUUCUAAGUCAGACGUGAAAUCCCCCGGCUUAACCUGGGAACUGCGUCUGAUACUGGGAGGCUUGAGUAUGGGAGAGGGAUGUAGAAUUCCAGGAGUAGCGGUGAAAUGCGUAGAUAUCUGGAGGAAUACCGGUGGCGAAGGCGGCAUCCUGGACCAUUACUGACGCUGAGGCGCGAAAGCUAGGGGAGCAAACAGG
rnacentral:rRNA from 1 species